rnacentral:tRNA from 1 species
CCGAUAGCUCAGCUUGGCUGGAGCGUUCGACUGAUAAUCGAAAGGUCGUGGGUUCGAAUCCCAUUCGG